UCGAUAAUCCUAUGACUGAAAAUAUUUUAGACUAGAGCUAUCAAGAUUUUAGUUCUUACUGGUAUGAUCUCAUCAUAGCUCUAAAAUCAUUAUCCUAAUCCAUUGGGUUCGUCAUAAUCAUGAAUAUGAUAUAGCAAAUAACGAAACAUAAUAUCUCAUAAAAGUAUAAAAUAAUCAAUAUCAUGCAACUAAGCAAGAAGAUAAUUUAGAAUAGUCCCAUCGCAUCAUCCAUGUGAUUGGCUUGUAGGGCACUAUUCUUUCAGAUUGCCCAUCAUUGGCUUCCUUCUAGGCUUAUUUUUUUCCUCUUGAGC
rnacentral:lncRNA from 1 species